GACGAACGCUGGCGGCGUGCUUAACACAUGCAAGUCGAACGGAAAGGCCCUGCUUUUGUGGGGUGCUCGAGUGGCGAACGGGUGAGUAACACGUGAGUAACCUGCCCUUGACUUUGGGAUAACUUCAGGAAACUGGGGCUAAUACCGGAUAGGAGCUCCUGCUGCAUGGUGGGGGUUGGAAAGUUUCGGCGGUUGGGGAUGGACUCGCGGCUUAUCAGCUUGUUGGUGGGGUAGUGGCUUACCAAGGCUUUGACGGGUAGCCGGCCUGAGAGGGUGACCGGCCACAUUGGGACUGAGAUACGGCCCAGACUCCUACGGGAGGCAGCAGUGGGGAAUAUUGCACAAUGGGCGGAAGCCUGAUGCAGCAACGCCGCGUGCGGGAUGACGGCCUUCGGGUUGUAAACCGCUUUCGCCUGUGACGAAGCGUGAGUGACGGUAAUGGGUAAAGAAGCACCGGCUAACUACGUGCCAGCAGCCGCGGUGAUACGUAGGGUGCGAGCGUUGUCCGGAUUUAUUGGGCGUAAAGGGCUCGUAGGUGGUUGAUCGCGUCGGAAGUGUAAUCUUGGGGCUUAACCCUGAGCGUGCUUUCGAUACGGGUUGACUUGAGGAAGGUAGGGGAGAAUGGAAUUCCUGGUGGAGCGGUGGAAUGCGCAGAUAUCAGGAGGAACACCAGUGGCGAAGGCGGUUCUCUGGGCCUUUCCUGACGCUGAGGAGCGAAAGCGUGGGGAGCGAACAGGCUUAGAUACCCUGGUAGUCCACGCUGUAAACGGUGGGUACUAGGUGUGGGGUCCAUUCCACGGGUUCCGUGCCGUAGCUAACGCUUUAAGUACCCCGCCUGGGGAGUACGGCCGCAAGGCUAAAACUCAAAGGAAUUGACGGGGCCCCGCACAAGCGGCGGAGCAUGCGGAUUAAUUCGAUGCAACGCGUAGAACCUUACCUGGGUUUGACAUGGAUCGGGAGUGCUCAGAGAUGGGUGUGCCUCUUUUGGGGUCGGUUCACAGGUGGUGCAUGGCUGUCGUCAGCUCGUGUCGUGAGAUGUUGGGUUAAGUCCCGCAACGAGCGCAACCCUUGUUCACUGUUGCCAGCACGUUAUGGUGGGGACUCAGUGGAGACCGCCGGGGUCAACUCGGAGGAAGGUGGGGAUGACGUCAAGUCAUCAUGCCCCUUAUGUCCAGGGCUUCACGCAUGCUACAAUGGCUGGUACAGAGAGUGGCGAGCCUGUGAGGGUGAGCGAAUCUCGGAAAGCCGGUCUCAGUUCGGAUUGGGGCCUGCAACUCGACCUCAUGAAGUCGGAGUCGCUAGUAAUCGCAGAUCAGCAACGCUGCGGUGAAUACGUUCCCGGG
rnacentral:rRNA from 1 species